AUCCUGAUUAGGCAAUCAUACUAUUUUAGAUAAGCAAUAAUAUGGUUCCCAAUAAGCAACUUAGUACUCCAGCAAGAUUUCAGAUGUCAAUUACAUGAAUUGUUAUUUUGUGGAUGUAUUAUUUUUUUGUAUGUGAAGCAAAAGUGCUACAUUUAUAGGGUUUUUCAUCUCGGUUGUUCCCUUUUCAGUGAAGAAACUAUGUUGCUUUUUUUGAACG
rnacentral:lncRNA from 1 species